ensembl:misc_RNA
CCGGUAGUGCUGGAAAUUGAAGUCCUCUGUUUACCCCCACAAGCAAAGGAACAGUCAAAGCUUCCUUGCUCUGCUGCAGCAAUGACCCCGACGGUGACCUGAGGAGACCACCCUCCUGAGAGAGGAGAGGUCACCCAGCCUCCACACAGGACCUGCUCGGGGCAUCC